rnacentral:lncRNA from 1 species
GUGGAAUGAAACCAGGAAGCACAAAGUUUCAGGAGAGCAAAGAUCCCCCCAGGAAGGAAAAGACAAGGACACGGUGAUGUGUUUGUGCCUCAGAAGAGAAAAUAGAAAAAAAAUCACCAACGUCUACUUCUGCAGAAUACUUCGCCCCAUUGUGAUAAGGGGGCCCUGGCCUGCCUCUGGCCUUCUGGGGACCCUCUGUCGGGUAUCAGGACUGGCUAGAUGUGGGCAUCUCAGUGGGAGGCAUGGAGAGGUCUCCUGCCACCUGACUGCAUCCAGACUGAGCUGUCACGAUUCACACCUGAGACUCUGCCUGCUCUGGCCUCCUACUCAGCUUCCUUUCUGGUCUGAGAGCCCAUAUUCCACUACUAUACCGAGAUACCGUUUUACAAAGUUCUUUCAUGUCCACCAUCUCCUUGGAAGUGGUAUGAAGAGUGAUCUGGAUACCAGAGAAGCUCAGUGAUGUGCUUGGGCUACCUAGUGAGUAAAGGUUCUUGAAACAAGGACCCCAAAGAAAUGGGAAUUUCUCCAGGAAUCUCGUGCUGUGAGAAGGAAAACGUGCCAGCCACAAGGGGAACACGAGUCCAGGAAAAGAGAUUUCACACAGUUCUAACAACUUGUCAGAUCACCUUACAGACAGAAUCCAAACUGAUGGAUCAGACGGAGGCCCAAACAAUGAUGGGUUGUUGUUGAUGUGCAGCAUGGGACAUGACCACACCUUUACUGGAACUGUUUGGAUUUACAUAUGCUUGGUCCUCUAUUUAAACUUUGAUCUUACUUCAGAACCAGGGAUUUGCUGGAUUGUCUCUCUUCUCAGAGUGGCCACAUUGAAUAAAUCCCCUUUUUUCUGAUUUUUGUUUUGUAAUUUGGCUCUUUUAACUGGCCCAUUGAGGAUACUGGGUAACUGGACCUGACUUGAGACACGGUGUGCAGUGGACAGUUUUAUGUCAACUUGACACAGAAUAGAGUUACUUGAGAGAUGAAAAUUUUAGUUGAG